rnacentral:rRNA from 1 species
AGCGAACGCUGGCGGCAGGCCUAACACAUGCAAGUCGAACGAACCUUUCGGGGUUAGUGGCGGACGGGUGAGUAACACGUGGGAACGUGCCUUUAGGUUCGGAAUAACUCAGGGAAACUUGUGCUAAUACCGAAUGUGCCCUUCGGGGGAAUGAUUUAUCGCCUUUAGAGCGGCCCGCGUCUGUUUAGCUAGUUGGUUGAGGUAAUGGCUCACCAAGGCGACGAUCAGUAGCUGGUCUGGGAGGAUGCUCAGCCACAUUGGGACUGAGACACGGCCCCAACUCCUACGGGAGGCAGCAGUGGGGAAUCUUGCGCAAUGGGCGAAAGCCUGACGCAGCCAUGCCGCGUGAAUGAUGAAGGUCUUAGGAUUGUAAAAUUCUUUCACCGGGGACGAUAAUGACGGUACCCGGAGAAGAAGCCCCGGCUAACUUCGUG